rnacentral:rRNA from 1 species
ACACUCCUACGGGAGGCAGCAGUGGGGAAUAUUGGACAAUGGGCGCAAGCCUGAUCCAGCCAUGCCGCGUGAGUGAUGAAGGCCCUAGGGUUGUAAAGCUCUUUCACCGGUGAAGAUAAUGACGGUAACCGGAGAAGAAGCCCCGGCUAACUUCGUGCCAGCAGCCGCGGUAAUACGAAGGGGGCUAGCGUUGUUCGGAUUUACUGGGCGUAAAGCGCACGUAGGCGGACUAUUAAGUCAGGGGUGAAAUCCCGGGGCUCAACCCCGGAACUGCCUUUGAUACUGGUAGUCUUGAGUUCGAGAGAGGUGAGUGGAAUGCCGAGUGUAGAGGUGAAAUUCGUAGAUAUUCGGAGGAACACCAGUGGCGAAGGCGGCUCACUGGCUCGAUACUGACGCUGAGGUGCGAAAGCGUGGGGAGCAAACAGGAUUAGAUACCCCUGUAGUCCCA